UACGAAGGGGGCUAGCGUUGUUCGGAAUUACUGGGCGUAAAGGGCGCGUAGGCGGCCUUCUAAGUCGAACGUGAAAUCCCCGGGCUCAACCCGGGAACUGCGUCCGAUACUGGAAGGCUUGAAUCCGGGAGAGGGAUGCGGAAUUCCAGGUGUAGCGGUGAAAUGCGUAGAUAUCUGGAGGAACACCGGUGGCGAAGGCGGUUCUCUGGGCAUUACCUGACGCUGAGGAGCGAAAGCGUGGGGAGCAAACAGG
rnacentral:rRNA from 1 species